rnacentral:rRNA from 1 species
CGGGGUGAGUAACGCGUGGAUAACCUGCCUCACACUGGGGGAUAACAGUUAGAAAUGACUGCUAAUACCGCAUGAGCACACAGUACCGCAUGGUACGGUGUGAAAAACUCCGGUGGUGUGAGAUGGAUCCGCGUCUGAUUAGCCAGUUGGCGGGGUAACGGCCCACCAAAGCGACGAUCAGUAGCCGACCUGAGAGGGUGACCGGCCACAUUGGGACUGAGACACGGCCCAA